UACGUGAGGGGCAAACGUUGUUCGGUGUCACUGGGCUUAAAGGGUGCGUAGGUGGUUGCGUAAGUAACGUGUGAAAUCCCCCGGCUUACCCGGGGAAUUGCGCGUUAUACUGCGUAACUUGAGGACUGUAGGGGAAUGGGGAACUCCAGGUGUAGCGGUGAAAUGCGCAGAUAUCUGGGGGAAGGCCGGCGGCGAAGGCGCCAUUCUGGGCAGUUCCUGACACUGAGGCACGAAAGCGUGGGGAGCAAACAGG
rnacentral:rRNA from 1 species